rnacentral:rRNA from 1 species
ACAGGUGGUGGCAUGGUUGUCGUCAGCUCGUGUCGUGAGAUGUGGUUAAGUCCCGCAACGAGCGCAACCCCUAUUGUUAGUUGCCAUCAUUCAGUUGGGCACUCUAGCGAGACUGCCGGUAAUAAACCGGAGGAAGGUGGGGAUGACGUCAAAUCAUCAUGCCCCUUAUGACCUGGGCUACACACGUGCUACAAUGGUUGGUACAACGAGUUGCGAGUCGGUGACGGCGAGCUAAUCUCUUAAAGCCAAUCUCAGUUCGGAUUGUAGGCUGCAACUCGCCUACAUGAAGUCGGAAUCGCUAGUAAUCGCGGAUCAGCACGCCGCGGUGAAUACGUUCCCGGGCCUU